UUUUUUUUUUUAAUUUUUUAUUGUGGGUUGUUCAAAACAUUACAAAUUUCUUGACAUAUCAUAUUCCACACUUUGAUUCAAGUGGGUUAUGAACUCCCACCUUCACCCCAUACACAGAUUGCAGAUUCACAUCAGUUACACAUCCAUUGAUUUACAAAUUGCCAUACUAGUGUCUGUUGUGCUCCGCUGCCUUUCCCAUCAUCCACCCUAUUUCUGGUUUUUGAUUUGUCUUAAUUUCUCAUUUGUUUGAAUGUCCGUUUAGUGUAGAUCCUCCCUUUGCUGGUUUUCACUUUUUUUUCCCCACUUCAUUCUCAUGAAAUAUUUUGUUGAGAAUGCUUUGUAGUGUAGGCUUUCUAGUUAUGAAUUCUUUUAAUUUUUGCUCAUCAUGAAAUGUUUUAAUUUCAUCUUCAAAUAUGAAACUUAAUUUCACUGGCUAUAAAAUUCUUGGUUGGUAUCUGUUUUCUUUCAGAGCUUGAAAUAUAUUAUUCCUGGACCUCCUAGCUAGGAGGGUCUGGGUUGAGAAAUCAGUUGAGAUUCAAAUUGGUUUCCCCAUAUAUAUAAUUUGAUUUUUUUUCUCUCACAACCUUUAAGAUUGUGGGAGACCAACUUUGCACAUGACUGAGUUAACUCCCCUGCUGGGCGAUGUGGCAUCAGGUGGCACCCAUGCUUCUAGACAGCCCUGCUCUUCUAGAGUUCAAGUGACUGUGUCUUUGUGCAUGGGCAUGCCUUCCUACAUCCCCAUGGGUGGAGCUACACUCACCUGUUCCUAUGUAAUAUUACCGCUUGCCCUGUUUGGGAUAAAAUGUUCCAUGGAAACACCUUUUGUGUGGCCCCUUCUCUUACUGUGCUCUUGGGUGUGGCCUCCCUAGAUGCUGGUAAACCUGCUGACUGUGGACAUCAUGAAGCUAGACUCAGCCCCCUGAAGCCUGACCCCUUGCCUCAUUUGAAUAACUUCUCCUCAAUAAAAGGGGUCAACACGUGUGGGCUUUCUCUCUCUUUCUGUGGACCCUUAAGGUCAGAGGAGCCAUCACAGCAACCCCAAAGAUAAAGGUAUUUCUGUCUCUUGUGCAGUUAUUUCACACAGCCCAGUUAGCCCAGUUCCCUAGGAGUGAUCCCUGAGUGUUUUAGUCACAAGCAACAAGUGGCAUCCCUGUGUGGGCAUGAGGUCUGAGUGUUUAAGUCACUGGGAAAACUGUAUAAGAUUUUAUCUUUAUUCUCUGUUAGUCAUUCUCAUUAUAAUGUGUCUUGGUGUGAGUCUGCUAUAAUUUUGUAGCUUUGGGGUCCUGUAAGCCUCUUGUAUUUUAUUUUCCAUUUCAUUCUUUAUGUUUGGGAAAUUUUCUGCUAUUAUAUCAUUGAAAAGAUUGUGCAUUCCUUUGGUUUGUAUCUCUGCUUUUCACCUAUUCCAGUAACUUUUAAAUUUGGUCUUUUCAUGUUAUCCCA
rnacentral:lncRNA from 1 species